rnacentral:tRNA from 1 species
GUGGGUAUAGCUCAGUGGCACAACACAUGCUUGGCCUGCAUGAGGAACUGGGUUCCAUCCCCAGUGCCUCCA